rnacentral:tRNA from 1 species
GGUUGGCUUAGAAGCAGCCAUCCUUUAAAGAUAGCGUAACAGCUCACUCAUCUAGAGAUUUUGCGUCGAAAAUAAUUGGGGCUAAGUAUAUUACCGAAUUUGAGGAUUCGUAGACUUCACAAAGGAAAAAUUUUUUAGUAUUUUUUUUAAAAAAUACAAAAUAGAAAUUGUACAUUUUUUAGGGGAGAUGCCAGAGUGGUCAAUCGGAGCAGACUUAAAAUCUGACGCUUUCUUUGAGUUUUAAAGAAAGCCGGGGGUUCGAAUCCCUCUCUCCCCACGAAAUUAAUUUUGAUUUGGUAGCUCAGUUGGUUUAGAGCACUUGCCUUACAAGCAAGGGGUCGGGGGUUCGAGUCCCCCCCUUAUCACGAAAUUUUAUUUCGUUGUUUUGGUUUUUUAAUUUUUGCAAGGGAGGCAAAAGCUUUUCCUUCCUUGCUUCCUUUGUGAAGUCUACGAGUGGUAGGAGAGUGUUCCAAUCUUCUGUCGACAGACAGAUAUAGCUGUGAAGUAGGACUCGUGAGAGCCUAUGGAGCGUUUGGAAGUAAGAAUGUUGGCACAAGUAACCGCAAUGGCGCUGAGAACGCGCCACGUCGAAAGAUCAAGGUUUCCUUGGUAAUGUCAAUCAGCCAAGGGUUAGUCGGGCCUAAGGGAAUGGUGAAAACCGUACUCGAUGGACACAGGGUUAAUAUUCCCUGACUUCCUUAUUUUGUGAUGGUAGGACGGAGUGUAGUAUGUAUCGCUCAUUAUUGGAUUUGAAGUUUGUGUCUUAAUUGUUCUCUAUAGGAAAAUCCGUAGAGUGCCUUCAAUGGCAAAUGAAAGAGAAGCAAAAAGUUCUAUCCCUCGGGAUAGGAUAAUGAUACAAAGCACGCUUCCAAGAAAAUUAUCUAAACUUAAAAAUAAGGAAUCCGUACCGCAAACCGACACAGGUGAUCAGGUCGAGUAGACCAAGACGAACGAGUGAGUGAUCCCCAAGGAACUCGGCAAAAAAGCAGCCGUAACUUCGGGAUAAGGCUUCCCCAUCGUACGCAAGUAUGGGUGGGGCGCAGCGAAAGUUUUCCUGGCAACUGUUUACCAAAAACACAGCUCCCUGCGAACUCGCAAGAGGAUGUAUAGGGGGUGACACCUGACCAAUGCCAGAAGGUCAAAUAUCGCCGUUGGUAGUAGCAAUAUUAUUGGUGAGUGAUAUAAGCCCUGGUGAAUGUCGGCCGUAACUAUAACGGUCCUAAGGUAGCGAAAUACCUUGUCGGGUAAGUUCCGACGCGCACGAAUGGUGUAAUGACUGGGAAACUGUCUCGGGGAUCAGCUCGGUGAAAAUACAAUACCGGUGAAGAUGCCGGUUAAGUGCAGUUAGACGAAAAGACCCUAGAAGCUUUACUAUAACUUGAUAUUGAGUAUGUUUUUAGACUGCGUAGCAUAGAUGGGAGAGGUUUGAUGUGUACGGUUUCGGCUGUAUUCUACUCGUCAGUGAAAUACCAUUCUUUCGUGAGGCAUAUUCUAAUCAAUACGGCAAAAACGUAUUGAGACAGUAUCUGGUGGAUAGUUUUACUGGGGCUGUACCCUCCUAAAAAGUAAAGGAGGGGUUUAAAGGU